rnacentral:misc_RNA from 1 species
GAUGAAGAACGUAGCGAAAUGCGAUAAGUAAUGUGAAUUGCAGAAUUCAGUGAAUCAUCGAAUCUUUGAACGCACAUUGCGCCCCCUGGUAUUCCGGGGGGCAUGCUUGUCCGAGCGUCAUUACAACCCUCAAGCUCAGCUUGGUGUUGGGCCCCGCCGCCCCGGCGGGCCCUAAAGUCAGUGGCGGUGCCGUCCGGCUCCGAGCGUAGUAAUUCUUCUCGCUCUGGAGGUCCGGUCGUGUGCUCGCCAGCAACCCCCAAUUUUUUUCAGGUUGACCUCGGAUCAGGUAGGGAUACCCGCUGAACUUAAGCAUAUCAAUAAGCGGAGGA